rnacentral:lncRNA from 1 species
AAAAUAAAAAGUUUAAAAAGCAAACAAAAAACCCCAAAUAGAGUUGUAUCAACGAGGUUUUGCUUGUGAUUUGAUUUUGUGGCCGUAAUUGUCCUGUUCUCUUUCAACACAAUAACCCUAACCCUCUCCCUGUUUCUUUCAGAAAGAGCGAGGGAGUAAUUCUAGCCUGUUUUUACAAGAACACAGUGGCUAUAGACAGUGCCAGUGUGAAGAUGACUCAGCAAACGUGGAGAACCAAAGAUUCUAGGGCAGCACCAAAACUGGGAAAGCAAUUACAGCAGAAGUUGCCUUCCCCAUGGUAGCUUAGCAACUUCGUGUCUCUCCAAGGCAGAGAGGAAAAUCAAGUCUAACAGGCCUUCCCGAAGGCUAGGUGUGAAAUACCAGAAGCCAUCUUUGUUUCUGGCGAUGUCACUAAAUAAGUAUUUGUUGAUAUAAAGUAUUACACAUCUGUUCUCCCACAUUUCAGCUAAAUUGCCAAAAGUUAACCCUUUCUGGAGAUCCAGAAUGGAGCAAUAUACCUAGCUCUCAUUCAUUAUUUCCCUUGCUGAUAUUCUUGCAUAGCUUUUAGUUUAUGCAUU